AAAACUUUCAACAACGGAUCUCUUGGUUCUCGCAUCGAUGAAGAACGCAGCGAAUUGCGAUAUGUAUUGUGAAUUGCAGAUUUUCGUGAAUCAUCAAAUCUUUGAACGCACAUUGCGCCCUCUGGUAUUCCAGGGGGCAUGCCUGUUUGAGCGUCAUUUCUUUCUCAAACCUUUGGUUUGGUAUUGAGUGAUAC
rnacentral:rRNA from 1 species